UGGGGGAAAAUUAAUAUAAUAAAAUAAAUAAUAAAAAUAAUUAUAAAAAAUAAUUAAUGGGGGUUAAAGUAUUUUUUAGAAAAAAAUUUAUUAAUUUAUAGUUUAAUAGUAUUGUGAAAGAAUUUUGAAAUAAAGUUAAAUAUGGAUUAUUAUUUAAGUAAAUUUAAUUUAUUGUAUCUUGUGUAUCAGAGUUUAUUAAUAAAAUAUUUUUAAAUAAAAAUAUCUCGAAUUUAAAAGAGAUAGUUAAUUAUUAAAGUUAAUGUGACAUAAUUAUUUUAAAUAAUUAAUUUGAAAUGAAAUGUUAAUCGUUUUUAAAAAUAUCUAGUUUUUUUAGAAAAAAAUUUAAUUUUAAAUUAAUUUAAUAAUUUUUUAAAUUUGUUAUAUAAAAUUAUAUAUUUAAUUAAAUAUUUUAAGGGAUAAGCUUUAAAUUAAAUUUUUAUAAUGUUAAUAAACUAUUUAAAUAUUUUAAAAUUUAUAUUUUUUAUAAAAUAUAAUUUUUUAUAAAUAAUUUUAUUUAUUUUAAAAUUUAAAUUUAUAUUUAAAUUUAUAUAAAAAAAUAAUUUUUAAUAAUAAAAAAUUAGUUAUAAUGAUAAAAUUAGUAUAAAAAAAAAAAUAAAAUAAAAUUAAUUAAAAUUAAUAAAAAGGAAUUCGGCAAAAAU
rnacentral:rRNA from 1 species